rnacentral:lncRNA from 1 species
GGAGAAUAAAUGAUCACACUGGGAAGGAAGAGCAACACUCAUUAUAUUCCAGAAAGUCAUUAUUAUUGUGACAGAGGCAAAUUUCAGGAUGAACAGUGCACCAAAGACCUUGCUCAGGAACAUAGUGACUGUGGUAUUGGUUCACCUCAGGCCUUGCUCAGGCAGAUAGUGACCACAGUACUGGCUCAGCCUGGUUGCUGGAGGAACUGAUGGACAGACAUCUUGUUCAACAGCUGAGGGAAAAUUGAGAGUGAUGUGUGUAAUGCCAUCAGCCACAACGUCAUAGUCUUUCACAGGACAAAAGAAGACUAAAAAUGGAAAGAAAGAGAAGGGACAAGCCAGCCUAUCUAGAAAAUAUAGCCGCCAAGGAAAGCUGUGCCAGGGAAGAGGAACACACUGUUACCAAAGUCCAGUUCACAAUGGGUUCAUUCCUUCUGCCAUUUACACAAAGCCACAGCUGAUCAGACUGAAACAUUCCUCUUGCUGGCUCCUAUUCUUCCUUCAUUUUAUUAAUAACCUGGCAACAGGAUAGGGGCUAAGAAAAGAGACCUUCUAGAAUGGAGAAUUUACUGAAGAAACCAGAAGUGAAAGGUAGGUAUGGGAGUUUGAAGUCACAUUUAUUAGGUGACAUAGUUCCUUUAGAGAACGAGAAAAGGACUUUAGGCAUGAGCACAACCCAUCAGGAAAAUCCAUGGUGACCUGGGCAAAUUCAUGCAGCACGGAUGUUGUAGAACAGUUUUAUGGAAGUGUGACAUCUUAAAGUCAAAAUAUAUUUUUCUCUGAUUAUUUUUUGUAUUGAUGUGGGUUCUGUUUUGUUUUGCUUUUGUUUGUUUGACAUUGUUGCUGAUUUUUAAGUACCUGUCCUACAUGAUGAGAUCUUGCAGCUCAAUUAAAAAGGAAAUAAUUAUUUAAAGCAUUCUGUGGAAUGUGGAACAGGCCCUGGAA